rnacentral:rRNA from 1 species
GAUGAACGCUGGCGGCGUGCCUAAUACAUGCAAGUCGAGCGAACGGACGAGAAGCUUGCUUUUCUGAUGUUAGCGGCGGACGGGUGAGUAACACGUGGAUAACCUACCUAUAAGACUGGGAUAACUUCGGGAAACCGGAGCUAAUACCGGAUAAUAUUUUGAACCGCAUGGUUCAAAAGUGAAAGACGGUCUUGCUGUCACUUAUAGAUGGAUCCGCGCUGCAUUAGCUAGUUGGUAAGGUAACGGCUUACCAAGGCAACGAUGCAUAGCCGACCGGAGAGGGGGAUCGGCCACAUUGGAACGUGGACGGGGUCCAGACUCCUACGGGAGGCAGCAGUAGGGAAUCUUCCGCAAUGGGCGAAAGCCUUACGGAGCAACGCCACGUGAGUGAUGAAGGUCUUCGGAUCGUAAAACUCUGUUAUGAGGGAAGAACAUAUGUGCAAGUAACUGUGCACAUCUUGACGGUACCUAAUCAGAAAGCCACGGCUAACUACGUG